AUUCCAUGGUGAGGGCAAACCAAGAGAUACUCUUGGAAAUGCUCCCAUGCUUCAGAGAUUGACUCAUUUGACACCUGCUAGAAGUUGGUUAUCCAUCCAUGAAGGGC
rnacentral:snoRNA from 1 species